rnacentral:rRNA from 1 species
GACGAACGCUGGCGGCGUGCUUAAUACAUGCAAGUCGAACGGAAAGGCCCUGCGCUUGCUGGGUGCUCGUUAGCCGAACGGGGGAGAGACACGUGAGGAUACUGCACUUGACUUUGGGAUAACUUCAGGAAACUGGGGCUCUUACCGGAUAGGAUCUCCUGCUGCAUGGUGGGGGAUGGAAAGUGUCGGCUGUUGGGGAUGGACUCGCGGCUUACCCGCUUGUUGGUGGGGUAGUGGCGUACCAAGGCUAUGAGGGGUAGGCGGCCUGAGAGGGUGACCGGCCACCAUGGUACUGCGGUACGGCCCAGACGCCUACGGGCGGCAGUAGUGGGGAAUAUUGCACAAUGGGCGGAAGCCUGAUGCAGCAACGCCGCGUGCGGGAUGACGGCCUUCGGGUUGUAAACAGAUUUCGCAGGUACCGAAGCGUGAGUGACGGUAAUGGGUAAAGAAGCCCCGGCUAACUACGUG